AUCUUCCUUCAUUCACCAAGGGAUAAGGCCAAGGAGAGUACAUACAGGCUAUAUAUAUAUAUACACACACUUUUAAUUUCCUAAAUAAAUAGGUUUCUCAAAGGCUGGCUAAUUAUUUACUAUAACUUGAUAAUAAAACUUACGAAUCUGUUAAGUUGUGUAGCUUGAUUAAUCCUCGGGCAAUUUACUCGAUGAUGAAUCAGAUUUAGCUUCUGAUGAUUCUUCAGAUAUCCGCGCCUCUGAUUUCUCAUUUGAGUAAGUCGAGAGAAUAGUAACCCAAACCAGUUCGACACAGUCCACCCAAAGGAGUCUUUG
rnacentral:misc_RNA from 1 species